GCAGAGAUGAUGCCAUGAUGAAAAACUCAGACUUUGACAGAGGAAAAAAAGAGAUGACGGUGACUUUAGGACUGCUUCUCAUCCUUGUGCUCCUACUAACUGGGAUGUCAGAGUUGAGGAUGCUGGAAUCUACACCUGUCAACAAUACCUUAGAGAGGAUGGACCACAACAUGGAGGUGAUGCUCCUGUUCGUCUGUCUCUAAAUAGUUCUCAUUCGCCACAGUACAUCCCUAUUGUUGUGGGAGUGUCUGUGGGAGUGUCUUUGGCAGUGUCGGUGUGUGUCCUUGUCGCUGUCAUCAUAUUAUGCAGGAGAACCACCAAUAUCAGCCUUGGUCUGAAUACAAUGAACCACCCCACCCCACCAGACAACGAAGACAGGAGUCAACCUGCUGGCAGUAUCACCUAUGCCUCCAUCAACUACAUAAACCAAUAUUCCCCCAAGAGAGUUGUCGUAAGUGAAACUAUAAUGGACAAAUUGUUGUCUCUUCCUCCUACAGGAUGUUUAAAACAUUUCCAUUGUUGUAAUGGUGUGUGUGUGUGUGUAGGCCCAUGAGGAUGCAGUGACCUAUGCCUCAGUUAUGACCUCUACUGACAGAGGAAGAGAAACAGAGAACCCUGCUGACCCCAACUCCCUCUAUUCUACUGUCAAUAAACAUCAGGGAGUUCAGCCAUAUGAGCAACAGUCAUUAAUUUAAAC
ensembl:lncRNA